rnacentral:rRNA from 1 species
YGAGAUUCCUACGGGAGGCAGCAGUGGGGAAUAUUGCACAAUGGGGGAAACCCUGAUGCAGCCAUGCCGCGUGUGUGAAGAAGGCCUUCGGGUUGUAAAGCACUUUCAGUUGUGAGGAAAAGUUAGUAGUUAAUACCUGCUAGCCGUGACGUUAACAACAGAAGAAGCACCGGCUAACUCCGUGCCAGCAGCCGCGGUAAUACGGAGGGUGCGAGCGUUAAUCGGAAUUACUGGGCGUAAAGCGCACGCAGUCGGUUUGUUAAGCUAGAUGUGAAAGCCCCGGGCUCAACCUGGGAUGGUCAUUUAGAACUGGCAGACUAGAGUCUUGGAGAGGGGAGUGGAAUUCCAGGUGUAGCGGUGAAAUGCGUAGAUAUCUGGAGGAACAUCAGUGGCGAAGGUGACUCCCUGGCCAAAGACUGACGCUCAUGUGCGAAAGUGUGGGUAGCGAACAGGAUUAGAUACCCUGGUAGUCCACACCGUAAACGCUGUCUACUAGCUGUGUGUGCCUUUAAGGCGUGCGUAGCGAAGCUAACGCGCUAAGUAGACCGCCUGGGGAGUACGGCCGCAAGGUUAAAACUCAAAUGAAUUGACGGAAU